rnacentral:rRNA from 1 species
AUUGAAUGCUGGCGGCAUGCCUUACACAUGCAAGUCGAACGGCAGCACGGGAGCAAUCCUGGUGGCGAGUGGCGAACGGGUGAGUAAUAUAUCGGAACGUGCCCAGUCGUGGGGGAUAACGCAGCGAAAGCUGUGCUAAUACCGCAUACGAUCUACAGAUGAAAGCGGGGGAUCGCAAGACCUCGCGCGAUUGGAGCGGCCGAUAUCAGAUUAGCUAGUUGGUGGGGUAAAGGCCCACCAAGGCGACGAUCUGUAGCUGGUCUGAGAGGACGACCAGCCACACUGGAACUGAGUCACGGUCCAGACUCCUACGGGAGGCAGCAGUGGGGAAUUUUGGACAAUGGGCGCAAGCCUGAUCCAGCAAUGCCGCGUGCAGGAUGAAGGCCUUCGGGUUGUAAACUGCUUUUGUACGGAACGAAACGGCCCUUUCUAAUACAGGGGGCUAAUGACGGUACCGUAAGAAUAAGCACCGGCUAACUACGUGCCAGCCGCCGCGGUAACAC